rnacentral:rRNA from 1 species
UAAUACGAAGGGCCCGAGCGUUAAGCGGAUUCACUGGGCUUAAAGCGUACGUAGGCGGAUUGGCCAGCGUCUUGUGAAAUCCCUCGGCUCAACCGAGGAACUGCAGGGCGAACUUCCAAUCUUGAGACAGGUAGGGGCCGUCGGAACGCACGGUGGAGCGGUGAAAUGCGUAGAUAUCGUGCGGAACGCCGAAGGCGAAGGCAGACGGCUGGGCCUGUUCUGACGCUGAGGUACGAAAGCGUGGGUAGCAAACGGGAUUAGAUACCCCGGUAGUCCACGCCCUAAACGAUGUGCACUAGGUCGUGGGUGUUCUGACACACUCUCGAUCGAAGCGAAAGUGAUUAGUGCACCGCCUGGGGAGUACGGUCGCAAGGCUA